rnacentral:rRNA from 1 species
UACAGAGGGGGCAAGCGUUGUUCGGAAUUACUGGGCGUAAAGGGCGCGUAGGCGGCCUUCUAAGUCGAACGUGAAAUCCCCGGGCUCAACCCGGGAACUGCGUCCGAUACUGGAAGGCUUGAAUCCGGGAGAGGGAUGCGGAAUUCCAGGUGUAGCGGUGAAAUGCGUAGAUAUCUGGAGGAACACCGGUGGCGAAGGCGGCAUCCUGGACCGGCAUUGACGCUGAGGCGCGAAAGCCAGGGGGAGCAAACGGG